ACACGACUACAUUAGAUACCCCUGUAGUCCCAGCCCUAAACGAUGCGCGUUAGGUGUAUCGGUGACCACGAGUCACCGAGGUGCCGAAGGAAACCGUGGAACGUGCCGCCUGGGAAGUACGGUCGCAAGGCUGAAACUUAAAGGAAUUGGCGGGGAGCACCACAACGGGUGGAGCCUGCGGUUUAAUUGGACUCAGCGCCGGGAAGCUCACCGGAUAAGACAGCGGAAUGAUUGCCGGGCUGAAGACCCUGCAUGACCAGCUG
rnacentral:rRNA from 1 species